AGCCCCUAGCGCAGACGGCGGAGAGCAGAGAGGGAGCGCGCCUUGGCUCGCUGGCCUUGGCGGCGGCUCCUCAGGAGAGCUGGGGCGCCCACGAGAGGAUCCCUCACCCGGGUCUCUCCUCAGGGAUGACAUCAUCCGUCCACCUCCUUGUCUUCAAGGACCACCUCCUCUCCAUGCUGAGCUGCUGCCAAGGGGCCUGCUGCCCAUCUACACCUCACGAGGGCACUAGGAGCACGGUUUCCUGGAUCCCACCAACAUACAAAGCAGCCACUCACUGACCCCCAGGACCAGGAUGGCAAAGGAUGAAGAGGACCGGAACUGACCAGCCAGCUGUCCCUCUUACCUAAAGACUUAAACCAAUGCCCUAGUGAGGGGGCAUUGGGCAUUAAGCCCUGACCUUUGCUAUGCUCAUACUUUGACUCUAUGAGUACUUUCCUAUAAGUCUUUGCUUGUGUUCACCUGCUAGCAAACUGGAGUGUUUCCCUCCCCAAGGGGGUGUCAGUCUUUGUCGACUGACUCUGUCAUCACCCUUAUGAUGUCCUGAAUGGAAGGAUCCCUUUGGGAAAUUCUCAGGAGGGGGACCUGGGCCAAGGGCUUGGCCAGCAUCCUGCUGGCAACUCCAAGGCCCUGGGUGGGCUUCUGGAAUGAGCAUGCUACUGAAUCACCAAAGGCACGCCCGACCUCUCUGAAGAUCUUCCUAUCCUUUUCUGGGGGAAUGGGGUCGAUGAGAGCAACCUCCUAGGGUUGUUGUGAGAAUUAAAUGAGAUAAAAGAGGCCUCAGGCAGGAUCUGGCAUAGAGGAGGUGAUCAGCAAAUGUUUGUUGAAAAGGUUUGACAGGUCAGUCCCUUCCCACCCCUCUUGCUUGUCUUACUUGUCUUAUUUAUUCUCCAACAGCACUCCAGGCAGCCCUUGUCCACGGGCUCUCCUUGCAUCAGGUAGGGGCUUUGCAGAGACCAUCGACGGGCUGACUUGACCAAGCUUCUUGAAAGGCCUGUCUACACUUGCUGUCUUCCUUCCUCACCUCCAAUUUCCUCUUCAACCCACUGCUUCCUGACUCGCUCUACUCCGUGGAAGCACGCUCACAAAGGCACGUGGGCCGUGGCCCGGCUGGGUCGGCUGAAGAACUGCGGAUGGAAGCUGCGGAAGAGGCCCUGAUGGGGCCCACCAUCCCGGACCCAAGUCUUCUUCCUGGCGGGCCUCUCGUCUCCUUCCUGGUUUGGGCGGAAGCCAUCACCUGGAUGCCUACGUGGGAAGGGACCUCGAAUGUGGGACCCCAGCCCCUCUCCAGCUCGAAAUCCCUCCACAGCCACGGGGACACCCUGCACCUAUUCCCACGGGACAGGCUGGACCCAGAGACUCUGGACCCGGGGCCUCCCCUUGAGUAGAGACCCGCCCUCUGACUGAUGGACGCCGCUGACCUGGGGUCAGACCCGUGGGCUGGACCCCUGCCCACCCCGCAGGAACCCUGAGGCCUAGGGGAGCUGUUGAGCCUUCAGUGUCUGCAUGUGGGAAGUGGGCUCCUUCACCUACCUCACAGGGCUGUUGUGAGGGGCGCUGUGAUGCGGUUCCAAAGCACAGGGCUUGGCGCACCCCACUGUGCUCUCAAUAAAUGUGUUUCCUGUCUUAACAA
rnacentral:lncRNA from 1 species